UACGAAGGGAGCUAGCGUUGUUCGGACUCACUGGGCGUAAAGCGCACGUAGGCGGACGUGUCAGUCAGGGGUGAAAUCCCGGGGCUCAACCUCUGAACUGCCUUUGAUACAGCACGUCUUGAGUCCGGAAGAGUUGGGUGGAAUUCCUAGUGUAGAGGUGACAUUCGUAGAUAUUAGGAAGAACACCGGUAGCGAAGGCGGCUCACUGGUCCGGUACUGACGCUGAGGUGCGAAAGCGUGGGGAGCAAACAGA
rnacentral:rRNA from 1 species